rnacentral:rRNA from 1 species
ACCGUAGCCAGACAAACUAAAGCGAAAGCAUUCGUCAAGCAUGUUUUCAUUGGCCAUGAGCGAAAGUCAGAGGCUCGAAGACGAUCAGAUACCGUCCUAGUUCUGACCAUAAACGAUGCCAACUGACGAUCCGUGGUGGUAGUAAUGUUACCUUCCCCACGGGCAGUCCCCGGGAAACCUUUAAGUGUUUGGGUUCCGGGGGAAGUAUGGUUGCAAAGCUGAAACUUAAAGGAAUUGACGGAAGGGCACCACCAGGAGUGGAGCCUGCGGCUUAAUUUGACUCAACACGGGAAAACUCACCCGGGCCGGACACUAUGAGGAUUGACAGAUUGAGAGCUCUUUCUUGAUUUGGUGGUUGGUGGUGCAUGGCCGUUCUUAGUUGGUGGAGCGAUUUGUCUGGUUAAUUCCGAUAACGAACGAGACUCCAGCCUGCUAAUUAGUGCGUUUGUCCACUGCACCUGCGUAGGUGACGUCGGAUGACACCACCUGUCACGAGGGCGUGGCUUCCACUUUUGCCUCUGCUUUUCCGCUCAAAUGCCCCCCUAGCGCCUCGUCCUCGUCCUCGUCCUCCUCCUCCUCCUCCUUCUUCAGCGCCUCUCCCGGCUGGCUGGCUGGGCGAGGUGGUGGUGGUGGUGGUGGCGGUGAGGAUGAUGGUGAGGUUGGAGGCGGUGCAGGUGGGCGAGUGGAUUGUGGCGGAGGUGAGGGAUGGAGUCCGGCGUUUGUGGCCGGUUAGUCUGGCGUUGGCUGCGGGUGUGGCGCGAAUGCCUACUUCUUAGAGGGACAAGCGGGAGAAGCCGCACGAAAUAGAGCAAUAACAGGUCUGUGAUGCCCUUAGAUGUCCGGGGCCGCACGCGCGCUACAAUGACGGUGUCAGCGAGUCAGACCUUCUGGCCCGAAAGGGUUGGGCAAACUGGUCCAAUCACCGUCGUGACAGGGAUCGGGGCUUGGAAUUGUUCCCCGUGAACGAGGAAUUC